AGGAACCUCCUUCUUCUUCCUGCCCCUAGGUCACACUCUUCCCGCUAGCUUCACCUCCUUUACUUUGCUUGGCCCAAACAUUAUUUUCCUUUCUUUUUCAAAGCUCAAAACAUAUAUCUUCACUUCAAAGAGAAACCAGGACUCCAAAAAUGGUUGAGUUCAUUUUGUCCAAGCUUAGAUCUGCCAUCUCAUAUCUGCACGACAACAUCUCAGAUCUGCACUAAAGCAUCUGAGAUCUGCCUUUCGUCAUCGUGUCCUCACGUCG
rnacentral:lncRNA from 1 species